AUCAGAAUCCUGUCUUGUGAUCAUUCUGUCAUGUCUCUUGUCCCCAUUCCCCUCCCUGGACUUCUUGCUCUAGGUUGCUGUCCUGCGGGUUGGGACAACUACACCAGGAGGGCAAAAUGGGGGUGUCUGACCUCUUGGAACUGGAGUUACUACUUUUGUGAACCACCUAACAAGGAUGCUGGAAUCCAAACUCCGACAGAGCUGUAAGUAUUCUAGCUCAAAGAGUGUGGCGUGUGUGAAAAGAACUGAAAUAACUCUGACUGAAGCACUUCUAGAGAGCCACCCGCCCUGUGAGCCUGAGCAGCCACUCCCACUUUGCCCUUCAGAAUUACUGGCUCAUGGAAGACACAAGCACAAUAGAAGCAUCAUUCAUGCCACUAAAUCUUCAUUUUACAGGUAACUGGAAAAGAUUUUAUAUAUGCCAUGACAGUUUUACCUUUAUCAUUUAUUAACUGUGUUGCUCAGAACAGGCUAGGUAAACUAGGAGAAACCAGAAACAAGCAGCCUCAAUGACUUUAAUAAAACCACUCCAUUUGUCUAAAUAACAAAAGAUUAUAUCUGAGUUUGUUUAAAGAUGACUUAUACUGCAUAUUCAUGGUAGGUCAACAGGAAGGCUCUCCUCAUUCUGGUUAAUCAGGGACUCAGCUAUUUGGCACUGCCAUUCAUUGAGAUAACAGGUAACAGAAUUCUGUGAAGUCUUGCACCAGUAGUUACAUGUUAGACCUGGAAAUGAUACAUGUCAUUUCUGCUCACAGUUCACCCAUCAAAACUAAGAAGAUGACACUCCCACCCCACACCCCAGAAAAUGUUGGGAUCGUUAGUCUUGUCAUGUCCUUAAAAUGAAGGAACCCGGAAAGACUUGAAUUUGUCUUGGAUUUGGGGUUUUGUUUUUCGAAGUACUGAGGAUCAAACCCCAGGCUUCAUGCAUGCUAGACAAGCAGUGUGUUAUAGCAGCAUCCCUUAGAAAAAAAUAGGCAAACAGAAAUAAAGAUUAUCACACAAAGAUAUCGCAAGACUAGCCUUUCAAGCCCAAACCUCACCUUAAAUUGUGGGUCCAAGGUAAUACUCAUUUCUCCCUCACAAGGCCAGUGCCUUUUAUUGCUACCUUUUUACCAUACUGAACAACAUCUGUAUCUAAUCUUACCUAUCCUGCUGCACAUUGUCUGCAUAUAAAGCAGUGGUUUAGUGGUAUCCAUGGAAACCAAGUCUAUCUGGUGGUUCUGCUAAACCAUUAAUCACAGUUUGGGAUUCUCUCUCUUUCUCUCUCUCUUUCUCCUUCCCUUCCUCCCUCUCUUUCUGUCCCUCUGUCUCUUCAUGUCUGUCUUUCCUUUAUCAGAGACAAAAUCAAAUUUGCAUAAAGAAUUUAUUGUUCUUUCAACCUAACAUAAAUAAUAUAACUUGAACUCACGUCUCUGAUGUAAAGUUAACUAAGAAGUAUAAGAAAAAAAGAAAAGAUUUUUAGAAAACGAGAUUUUAGAAAAAGGAAAGAUAACAAGUAAAGAUAUGUGUGGACUGACAAACACUUGGAUGUGAAUUCUAGAUGAAGUGUUAAAUUCAAGCACCUAGACUUCUCACUUACUCACUUCUUAAUAUUGUAAAAGUUUUACAUUUACAUAUACCACAGGAGGCUAACAAUGCUACUCAACAGUAAGAUAGUUGUAAGGAUAAAAUAGCUGGAAUAACAAAUUAACCAAGUAAGCCUGAAUCAAAAUUAAAAUUACCAUUCAAUUUGAAAGUAUUAGUAUUACAUCUGCUUUAAACAGAGGAACAAUGGCUACUGUAAUGGGUCUCUGAUAAAUUCUGAAGAUGUGUG
rnacentral:lncRNA from 1 species